UACGUAGGCAGCGAGCGUUGUUCGGAGUUACUGGGCGUAAAGGGUGUGUAGGCGGUUCUUUAAGUUUGGUGUGAAAUCUUCCGGCUCAACCGGGAGGGUGCGCCGAAUACUGAGGGACUAGAGUAUGGGAUGGGAAAGUGGAAUUCCUGGUGUAGCGGUGAAAUGCGUAGAUAUCAGGAGGAACACCUGUGGUGUAGACGGCUUUCUGGACCAUAACUGACGCUGAGACACGAAAGCGUGGGUAGCAAACAGG
rnacentral:rRNA from 1 species